AUUUAUAUAGUUUAAAAUAAAACAUUACAUUUUCAUUGUAGAAAUAAAAUUUGCAUUUUUAUAAAUA
rnacentral:tRNA from 1 species